CACAGAUACUCACACUCACGCACACCAGCUCAGAGGCUAGCAGACCGCCUUUUUGCGCCACUUUACGAACGCCCAGCGAAUCAGUUGUCAGUUCGCAUCCAACUAGAAAGCACUUAAGCAAAAAACCGCCGCCCAUAAUAAAGAAAAAAGAAAAGAAAGAAAAACACCAACAAAUAUCUUGUAAUCCCCCCAGUUGGAAGUGAGUGUUUGUGUGUGUGUGAGCAAAAAAUUAUGCCAGCCUGAAAUUUGAAAUCUAAAAAAUCUAUAUUUUCACUAAAAUCAAAUACAAAAAAAAAAAAAAAACCCAGCCCGCACAAGUUUUGCUCAAAACAACAACACGAAUUCGCUAUAAAACAAACAAAAUUCAUAAAAAGUGCAAAAUAAGAAGGAAAACAAAGUAAAACAGUGCCAAUUAACAACAACAACCAGAACAGGCGAUCUACAAAAUCAACCGGCAGAAUAAACAAUUAUUAUCGCAGUCAACACAAGGAGCAAUUCCCCAUUGGAAACUUUUGGCGGAUUAUAAUCCCGAAGCUUGAGUGUGUGCUUCGGUAAUUUUUUUGGGCUGGCGUGGAUUACUGAAGACACCGCAAAGCUGCAACUGCACAACGACAUACUCUACCCCAUGAUGGACGGCUUCGCGCAGGACUGGCCCACCCUGACCCACACAGACAACGGCCUGGCCAUGGACCAGCUGGGGGUGGGCGUGGGUGUGGGCGACCUGCCCAUAGAUGCCGGUUUCGAGCCCCAGACCAGAGCCAGAUCGAACACAUGGCCCUGCCCCAGACCAGAUAACUUUGUGGAGCCCGUCGACGAACUGGAUAGUACAAAAGCCAGCAAUCAGCAGUUGACUGCAGGAGACUCACAACAGGCUAUACAGAAUGCGAAUGCAGCCAAGAAGAAUUCAUCGCGUCGCAAUGCAUGGGGAAACCUCUCCUAUGCGGAUCUCAUAACGCAUGCCAUUGGAUCGGCCACCGACAAGCGACUGACUCUGAGUCAGAUCUACGAGUGGAUGGUCCAGAACGUGCCAUACUUUAAGGACAAGGGCGAUUCGAACAGCAGUGCUGGAUGGAAGAACUCUAUACGUCACAAUCUGUCGCUGCACAAUCGGUUCAUGCGCGUCCAGAACGAGGGCACCGGAAAGUCCUCCUGGUGGAUGCUAAAUCCGGAGGCCAAGCCCGGAAAAUCGGUGCGGCGCCGUGCCGCCUCCAUGGAGACGUCCCGGUACGAGAAGCGCCGUGGCAGAGCCAAGAAGCGGGUCGAGGCGUUGCGACAGGCCGGAGUUGUUGGCCUAAACGAUGCCACGCCCUCGCCGAGCAGCAGUGUCAGCGAGGGGCUGGACCAUUUUCCAGAGAGCCCGCUGCACAGUGGCGGUGGCUUCCAGCUGUCGCCCGACUUCCGGCAACGUGCCUCAUCCAACGCCAGUUCCUGCGGACGCUUGAGUCCGAUCCGUGCCCAGGAUCUCGAACCCGACUGGGGAUUCCCGGGUGUCGACUACCAGAACACCACGAUGACGCAGGCCCUCGAGGAGCUCACUGGCUCCAUGGCGGACGAGCUGACGCUGUGCACCCAGCAGCAGCAGCAAGGGUUCAGUGCCGCCUCGGGCCUCCCCACACAGCCGCCCCCGCCGCCCUACCAGCCGCCCCAGCCUCAGCAACAGCAGCAGCAGGGCCAGCAGCCCUCGCCCUACGCCCUCAACGGCCCCACCCCCGGCUACAACACGCUGCAGCCACAGUCCCAGUGCCUGCUACACCGCUCCCUCAACUGCAGCUGCCUACACAAUGCAAGAGAUGGCCUCUCGCCGAACUCAGUUACCACAACAAUGUCGCCCGCCUAUCCGAACAGCGAGCCAUCCUCGGAUUCGCUAAACACUUACAGCAACGUGGUUCUCGAUGGUCCCGCGGACACUGCCGCAUUGCUGGUGCAACAACAGCAACAACUUGCAACGAACCUGGAAGAUAAUAACUGCGCCUCUACUUUGAUAGGACAAUGCCUGGAGGUGCUCAAUAGCGAGGCUCAGCCAAUUGACGAAUUUAAUCUGGAGAACUUUCCCGUGGGGAAUCUCGAGUGCAAUGUCGAGGAGCUGCUACAGCAGGAGAUGAGCUAUGGUGGCUUGCUGGACAUCAACAUACCUCUGGCAUCGGUGAACACCAACCUGGUCAACAGCGGUGCACCCAUCAGCAACAUCACCACCUCGACCGGCACCAGUCUCAAUCUGAACCAGCUGCAGGCCCAGCUGCAUCAGCAACAACAGCAGCAGCAACAACUGCAGCAGCAACAGCAGCAGCAGCAACAUCAGCAACACCAGCAGCAACAGUUGCUGCUCAACAACAACAAUAACACAAGCAGCAGCAGCCUGGAAUUGGCAACACAAACGCCCAGCACAAAUCUGAAUGCCAGAGUUCAAUAUUCGCAACCAAGUGUGGUGACCUCGCCGCCCUCCUGGGUGCAUUAGAUGAUGACUAGAAAUCGAUCGAGGAUCCACGAUCUAUAGUCGAUGUAUGGUUAUCGUUGUGUGAGUGUGCGCGUAUGUGUGUGUGUGUUGUUUGUAUCGCCAAUGGAACGCUUUAAAACGCUAACUCUAAGGACAAUAGUGUAAAGAAGUAAGCAGCUGGUAACUGGUAUCUGGUAGCUGGAAACUAAAGUCGGAAUCAGAGGAGCAGCUGCAGGAUCAGUGAGCAGGAAGCCGCAGCUGGACCGCCACUAAAAAGUUUACAAAGAUAAAUCUGGUCGCUUCUAAUCUAACAUACAUACACUAUAUAUACAUAGAUAUACAAUUACAAAUAUAUAUAUAAAUAUAAUAUGCAUUACACAUAGAACCGAAGCAUACAAAUAAUACCAAUUAAUCACCAAUAACACGGUGCGACAGUGAAAAAACACUUGUGAAACGAGAUAGUGUAGGUUGUUAAUCUGGUCGAAGAGAACUCAAAAAUAUUUUUUUUAUAUUUUUGGAACCCUCCAAUUUUUUUUUAUUUAAAAAAAAACCGUUUUUCGGGACUUUUUUGCGCUUAAAAAUUCCUGAACGCGUUUUUUUCAACCGAUUUCAAAAUUUUCGGUGUUUUUCAAUAGUUAAAUGUUGUAGCUUUUGAAAAAAAAAUAUAUCUUCGAUUUUGUUGAACAAAAAGGACAACAUUUUUACACCUGAAACUAAAGUUUUCGACUUUUAUUCGUGUUUUUCGGAUUUUGAUGCCAGUUUUUCGGUAAAACUUACUAAAAUUCUGUCAUGUUUGCCACAUAUCAAUGUUGUCUUAUUCAUUUUGAAUAAAACGAGACAAAUUUCAUCAAAAAAUAAUGAAAAUUGGUGAAGUUAUAACGCUUUUCCCAAAAAAAGUCAACUCAACCUAGCGGGCGCUUCGGAGGAACAAUGUGUAUAAAAAUAAGAGUAUAUUGCUUUCUUCUGACAAAAAGUUUGUCAUUUAUGCCACAUAUUAAUAUUGUCUCAAUAAUACUGAAUAGAACGAGACAAAUUUCAUCAAAAAAUAAUGAAAAUUGGUGAAGUUAUAACGCUUUUCCCAAAAAAUGUCAAUUCAACCUUGCGUGCGCUCCGGAGUACCUGUGUGUAUAAGUCAGGAAUAUGCUCUUCUUCUUAUAGUGCUCCCAUGGUUUUAUUGACUUUUUUAGGGAAAAGCGUUAUAACUUCAACAAUUUUCAUUAUUUUUUGAUGAAAUUUGUCUCGUUCUAUUCAGUAUUAUUGAGACAAUAUUAAUAUGUGGCAUAAAUGACAAACUUUUUGUCAGAAGAAAGCAAUAUACUCUUAUUUUUAUACACAUUGUUCCUCCGAAGCGCCCGCUAGGUUGAGUUGACUUUUUUUGGGAAAAGCGUAAUAACUUCACCAAUUUUCAUUAUUUUUUGAUGAAAUUUGUCUCGUUUUAUUCAAAAUGAAUAAGACAACAUUGAUAUGUGGCAAACAUGACAGAAUUUUAGUAAGUUUUACCGAAAAACUGGCAUCAAAAUCCGAAAAACACGAAUAAAAGUCGAAAACUUUAGUUUCAGGUGUAAAAAUGUUGUCCUUUUUGUUCAACAAAAUCGAAGAUAUAUUUUUUUUUCAAAAGCUACAACAUUUAACUAUUGAAAAACACCGAAAAUUUUGAAAUCGGUUGAAAAAAACGCGUUCAGGAAUUUUUAAGCGCAAAAAAGUCCCGAAAAACGGUUAUUUUUAAAUAAAAAAAAAUUGGAGGGUUCCAAAAAUAUAAAAAAAAUAUUUUAGAGUUCUCUUCGACCAGAUUAACAACCUACACUAUCUCGUUUCCCAAGUGUAUUUCGUUUUUUUUUUUUUGUCGCACAGUGUAAUUAGAUGCUACAAUUAGUGAAAUUCUCUGUGCUUGGCAAUGCAAAUGGAAGCAGUCAGCUGUCAAAGAGAACCUUGAAUUCAAUUGAAAAAUGGUUAGUCAAUAAGUUCAACAUUGUACAUAUUAAUUCUAAUACCCUUGACGUAAUAAAAACAACAAAUAAUAAUAAUAAUUCUGAUAAAAAAAAACAAAAAAAAAACGUAAAACGUAAACUAAAUGUUCGAAAACGAAACGGAAAAAGCAUACAAAAUAGCUAUCAAAAAACAAAACAAAUAAAAUCAAUUUAUGAAAUGGUAACAGAAACCGAAAACAAAGAAAAUUAGCACAAUUAUGUAAUAAUUUAUGCUUAAAUAAUGUAUUUAAUUGAAAAUCUAAUUAUAAUUGUAUAUUUUUUCUAUAAAUGAGCGAGCAAACCCUUAAAGAAUGAGAAACUUGUGUAAAAAUUAUUUUUAAGAUUUGCAAUGGAAUACGUAAUAAAUUUUCUGAUUAGUUAGCUCAGUUUACAUCAGGACAGUUAAAAACAAAAACUCCCAAUUUCCCCCCGAAAUGCGUAAUGCACUUUUGUUACACUUUUACAAAAAAAACAUAUGUAGAUGGUAAAAGUUAAAUAAAAUUAAAUCAUAAAACCAAUGGAAAUGUCAUAUAUUAGUAAAUGUAAAUGUUGCUAGAAAAAAAACCAGGGACCUUAACGAUAAUAAUUUUUUAAAAAUAAAUAAGAAUAAACAAUUAUUUUUCUGUUUCAAAUUUAAAAAAUACAAAUUUCGAAGUUGCGCAAUAUUUAAAAUGUUUUAGAAGUAUAACGAGAGCUUUUAUUAAAACUUUCCAACUUGAAUAUUUUUCUUUUGACUGCUGAAGACAUAUGUCUUUCAGAUACCAAUUUUUUCAACUCGAUUAUUUUUGAUGGUCCCAGGAAAUAAAAAUUUAAAUUCGAAAUCUAAAAAAAUAUCCACAAAACCAAGCAGAACUUAGAACAGAAAAUUAAAAGCAAAUAAAUGCGCAUCAUUGUGUACUAUUAUGGGCUAAAUGUUAAUUAUUAACUAGAUUGUAAAAUUCAAAUGUAGUUCAUACUAUUUAAAAUGCAAACACGGAGUGAAGAUGAAUAAACUGACGAUUGAAUAUAAGAAAACUA